rnacentral:rRNA from 1 species
CACGUAGGGUGCGAGCGUUGUCCGGAUUUACUGGGCGUAAAGCGCGCGCAGGCGGUUCUGUAAGUCCUGGGUGAAAUCGCCCGGCUCAACUGGGCGGGGGCCUGGGGACUGCGGGACUGGAGGGGCCUAGAGGCCGGUGGAACUCCCGGUGUAGUGGUGAAAUGCGUAGAGAUCGGGAAGAACACCAGUGGCGAAGGCGGCCGGCUGGGGGCGCCCUGACGCUGAGGCGCGAGAGCGUGGGGAGCGAACCGG